GAUGAACGCUGACAGAAUGCUUAACACAUGCAAGUCAACUUGAAUUUGGGUUUUUAACUUAGGUUUGGGUGGCGGACGGGUGAGUAACGCGUAAAGAACUUGCCUCACAGCUAGGGACAACAUUUGGAAACGAAUGCUAAUACCUAAUAUUAUGAUAAUAGGGCAUCCUAUAAUUAUGAAAGCUAUAAGCGCUGUGAGAGAGCUUUGCGUCCCAUUAGCUAGUUGGAGAGGUAACGGCUCACCAAGGCGAUGAUGGGUAGCCGGCCUGAGAGGGUGAUCGGCCACAAGGGGAAUGAGACACGGCCCUUACUCCUACGGGAGGCAGCAGUGGGGAAUAUUGGACAAUGGACCGAGAGUCUGAUCCAGCAAUUCUGUGUGCACGAUGAAGUUUUUCGGAAUGUAAAGUGCUUUCAGUUGGGAAGAAACAAAUGACGGUACCAACAGAAGAAGUGACGGCUAAAUACGUG
rnacentral:rRNA from 1 species